rnacentral:tRNA from 1 species
ACUAAGGCGGGGGCCUGCAAAGCCCCUAUCGUGGGUUCGAAUCCCACCGGCGCCU